UCGUUUCACGUCAAGCUUAAUUGUUCUCUUCAAAAUGUUGACUGAAAAGAAUCCAAAAGAAAUUACGCCUUUAUUAGCAACACUGAAUUCACAAAUUCAACGGUUAAAUGCUGAAGGUAGAAUGUUAAUAUUCGAAGGAAUGAUGGCUGAAGUGUUCCAAGCGAUGAUUCAGAUGUUAGCCUCCGAACCUUCUGAUGUUAUGCUAAAUCAUUUUAAAUACGCAGAAUAUGCGUUAGAAAAUAGACGUGCAGUUCUAAAGAGAGAUAUUAACGGUCUAAUCGACGUUGUAGAUACCGUUUAUAUAGAAAAGGAGAU